AAAAGACUUAGUCCUAACCUUACCGUUAAUUCUCGCUCAACAUAUACAUGCAAGUAUCCGCACCCCAGUGCAAACGCCCUAAAACCCCUUGCCAAGGCACUAGGAGCAGGUAUCAGGCACACUUCCGUGGCCCAAGACGCCACGCCCCGCCACACCCCCACGGGUACUCAGCAGUAAUUAACAUUAAGCAAUAGGCGUAAGCCUGACUUAGCUAGAGCGAUCAGGGUUGGUAAAUCUUGUGCCAGCCACCGCGGUCAUACAAGAAACCCAAAUUAACCGUACGCGGCGUAAAGAGUGGCCUCAGACUAUUAAAGCAGAUUAAGACUAAACUCCAACCUAAGCCGUCACAAGCCCAAGGUCCCCGAAGCCCAACCUAAAAACGAUCUUAACACCAACGACCCAUCCCACCCCACGAAAGCCAGGGCACAAACUGGGAUUAGAUACCCCACUAUGCCUGGCCCUAAAUCUUGAUGUUUCCCAAACACAAACAUCCGCCCGAGAACUACGAGCAC
rnacentral:rRNA from 1 species